CUACGGGGUGCUGCAGUGAGGAAUACUGCACAAUGGGGGGAACCCUGAUGCAGCAACGCCGCGUGGAGGAUGACGCAUUUCGGUGUGUAAACUCCUUUUAUAUGUCAAGAAAAUGACGGUAGUAUAUGAAUAAGCACCGGCUAACUCCGUGCCAGCAGCCGCGGUAAUACGGAGGGUGCAAGCGUUACUCGGAAUCACUGGGCGUAAAGGACGCGUAGGCGGGUUGGAAAGUCAGGUGUGAAAUCCUACAGCUUAACUGUAGAACUGCACUUGAAACUUCUAAUCUAGAGUAUGGGAGGGGGAGAUGGAAUUAGUGGUGUAGGGGUAAAAUCCGUAGAUAUCACUAGGAAUACCUAAAGCGAAGGCGAUCUCCUGGAACAUUACUGACGCUAAGGCGUGAAAGCGUGGGGAGCAAACAGGAUUAGAUACCCCAGUAGUC
rnacentral:rRNA from 1 species